CCUACGGGAGGCAGCAGUAAGGAAUAUUGGACAAUGGUCGCAAGACUGAUCCAGCCAUGCCGCGUGCAGGAUGACAGCCCUAUGGGUCGUAAACUGCUUUUGUGCGAGAAAAAACCCCCUCUACGUGUAGAGGGCUGAUUGUAUCGUAAGAAUAAGGAUCGGCUAACUCCGUGCCAGCAGCCGCGGUAAUACGGAGGAUCCAAGCGUUAUCCGGAUUCAUUGGGUUUAAAGGGUGCGUAGGCGGAAUGAUAAGUCAGUGGUGAAAGCCUGCAGCUUAACUGCAGAACUGCCAUUGAUACUGUCAUUCUUGAGUACAUUUGAUGUGGGCGGAAUGUGUCAUGUAGCGGUGAAAUGCUUAGAUAUGACACAGAACACCGAUUGCGAAGGCAGCUCACAAAACUGUAACUGACGCUGAGGCACGAAAGCGUGGGUAUCAAACAGGAUUAGAUACCCUGGUAGUCCACGCUGUAAACUAUGAUUACUCGAUGUUUGCGAUACACUGUAAGCGUCCAAGCGAAAGCGUUAAAGUAAUUCCACCUGGGGAGUUACGGCUCGCAAGAGUUGAAACUUAAUUGAAUUGACGG
rnacentral:rRNA from 1 species